UACGGGGGGGCAAGCGUUGUUCGGAAUUACUGGCGUAAAGGGCUCGUAGGCGGCCAACUAAGUCAGACGUGAAAUCCCUCGGCUUAACCGGGGAACUGCGUCUGAUACUGGAUGGCUUGAGAUUGGGAGAGGGAUGGCGGAAUUCCAGGUGUAGCGGUGAAAUGCGUAGAUAUCUGGAGGAACACCGGUGGCGAAGGCGGCAUCCUGGACCAACACUGACGCUGAGUGAGCGAAAGCCAGGGGAGCAAACGGG
rnacentral:rRNA from 1 species